rnacentral:rRNA from 1 species
UACGUAGGGUCCGAGCGUUGUCCGGAAUUACUGGGCGUAAAGAGCUCGUAGGUGGUUUGUCGCGUUGUUUCGUGAAAACUCACAGCUCAACUGUGGGCGUGCGGGCGAUACGGGGCAGACUGGAGUACUGCAGGGGGAGACUGGAAUUCCUGGUGUAGCGGUGGAAUGCGCAGAUAUCAAGGAGGAACACCGGUGGGCGAAGGCGGGGUCUCUGGGCAGUAAACUGACGUGG